rnacentral:rRNA from 1 species
UACGUAGGGGGCAAGCGUUAUCCGGAUUUACUGGGUGUAAAGGGAGCGUAGACGGCGCUGCAAGUCCGGAGUGAAAGCCCAUGGCUUAACCAUGGUACUGCUCUGGAAACUGUGGAGCUUGAGUGCGGGAGGGGCAGGCGGAAUUCCUAGUGUAGCGGUGAAAUGCGUAGAUAUCACGCAGAACUCCGAUUGCGAAGGCAGCUUACUAAGCCAUAACUGACACUGAAGCACGAAAGCGUGGGGAUCAAACAGG